rnacentral:rRNA from 1 species
UACAGAGGUCUCAAGCGUUGUUCGGAUUCAUUGGGCGUAAAGGGUGUGUAGGCGGCGCGGUAAGUCGGGUGUGAAAUCUUGGAGCUUAACUCCGAAACUGCAUUCGAUACUGCCGUGCUUGAGGACUGGAGAGGAGACUGGAAUUUACGGUGUAGCGGUGAAAUGCGUAGAUAUCUGGAGGAACACCGGUGGCGAAGGCGGCAUCCUGGACCAACACUGACGCUGAGGAGCGAAAGCCAGGGGAGCAAACGGG